AGCGGCGGACGGGUGAGUAACGCGUAAAUAACCUGCCAUAGACACAAGGAUAGCCAUCGGAAACGGUGAUUAAUACUUGAUGAGGCUACAGAUUCGCAUGAAUCAGUAGUUAAAGAAUUUUGGCGUAUGAUGGAUUUGCGUUUGAUUAGCUAGUUGGUAAGGUAAAAGCUUACCAAGGCGAUGAUCAAUAGCCGGCCUGAGAGGGUGAACGGCCACACUGGAACUGAGACACGGUCCAGACUCCUACGGGAGGCAGCAGUGGGGAAUAUUGCACAAUGGAGGAAACUCUGGUGCAGCAACGCCGCGUGAACGAAGAAGGCUUUCGAGUCGUAAAGUUCUGUUAUAGGGGAAGAAGCAGUGACGGUACCCUAUGAGAAAGCCACGGCUAAUUACGUGCCAGCAGCCGCGGUAAUACGUAAGUGGCAAGCGUUAUCCGGAAUUACUGGGCAUAAAGAGUUCGUAGGCGGUCAAUCAAGCCAAUAGUGAAAUCCAUCGGCCUAACCGAUGUAAGCUAAUGGAACUAAGUGACUUGAGUACAGGAGAGGAAAGUGGAAUUCCUAGUGUAGUAGUGAAAUGCGUAGAUAUUAGGAAGAACAUCAGUAGCGAAGGCGACUUUCUGGACUGUAACUGACGCUGAGGAACGAAAGCGUGGGGAGCGAACAGGAUUAGAUACCCUGGUAGUCCACGCCGUAAACGAUGGAUACUUGGU
rnacentral:rRNA from 1 species